CUCCCGCUCAAGCCAACGUACCAACGGCAUAAGUGGUAUCCAAUUUAAUGACCAAUGACGCAACUGUCUGCCUUCGGGACGCAAUCGUUUGCAGGACAGAUGUCGAAGGACCGAGACACCGCGGCAUAUCACCCGCUCAGCUGAGCCAGUCAAGGGCAAGCCUCGGCGGGGCAUAGAAUUUCUACCCCGGCGCGGCUGUCCCAGCAGAUGACCAGUCAGCGCACGGCGGGUCAGCGCCGGCCUGCAGUGGACGGAGGAGACAAAAAAUAAAGAUAAAA
rnacentral:lncRNA from 1 species